ACGGGUGAGUAACACGUGGGAAUCUACCCAUCCCUGCGGAACAACUCCGGGAAACUGGAGCUAAUACCGCAUACGCCCUACGGGGGAAAGAUUUAUCGGGGAUGGAUGAGCCCGCGUUGGAUUAGCUAGUUGGCGGGGUAACGGCCUACCAAGGCGACGAUCCAUAGCUGGUCUGAGAGGAUGAUCAGCCACAUUGGGACUGAGACACGGCCCAAACUCCUACGGGAGGCAGCAGUGGGGAAUAUUGGACAAUGGGCGCAAGCCUGAUCCAGCCAUGCCGCGUGAGUGAUGAAGGCCUUAGGGUUGUAAAGCUCUUUCACCGAUGAAGAUAAUGACGGUAGUCGGAGAAGAAGCCCCGGCUAACUUCGUGCCAGCAGCCGCGGUAAUACGAAGGGGGCUAGCGUUGUUCGGAAUUACUGGGCGUAAAGCGCACGUAGGCGGACAUUUAAGUCAGGGGUGAAAUCCCGGGGCUCAACCCCGGAACUGCCUUUGAUACUGGGUGUCUAGAGUAUGGAAGAGGUCAGU
rnacentral:rRNA from 1 species